GAUGUGGACUUUCCAGCCCUGGCCCUGCCACCUGUGGGGAUUGUGAUAUAUCACUGGUCCAUCAUCUUGGUUACAUGACGCUCCUCUCCUCCCUGGGCCUUGCCGCUAUUUGGUAUUGUGAUGUAUCCCUGAGCCCAGCACCCAGGCACAGUCUCCCUUGCUGCCUGGGCCUUGCCUACAGUGGGCAUUGUGAGGCAUCACUGGGCCUAGCAUCCAGAUGAUGUGACUCUCCUUUAAGAACCCUGCUAGCAGAAGAAAUCAUGAUAUGUUUUAGACCUGACACCCAUGUGAUGUGACUCUACUGCCUGGUGCAGGCCCACAGGUGGGAUUGUGACAUUUAACUAAUCACAACUUACGGGUAUGCUGAUGACUCUCACACAUGAACCCAGCCAAUGAAGGAGAUUUUGACCUCCUAGACAAGCUUAGAAAAAACAGGCCCAACCCACAGAUAAAAUGUGACAUAGACCUGGACAUCACCUAAGUAAUGCGAAGCUCCUUCCUGGGCUGUCUACCAAGGGAAUUUUUACAUAUUACUGGAAUCAGCAUCCACUGAGGUGACAUGAGUCUACUCUGCCUGAGCCCUGCCUAUAAAGGACACUGUGACUUUCUCUGGGUCUAUCAAAUAGGAAGUAUUGUAACAUAUCACUUAGCCCAGCACCUAGGUGAUGUGAUUCUCCUUGCUUGGUUGGUCCCUUUCUGCUGAGGAGAUUGUGACCCAUUGCUGGGUCCAGCACCAAGGUGAUGAUACCCUGUUGCCAUGUUGAGGCCAUUGUGACAUAUACCUAGGCCAAUCACCUAGGUGAAGUGAGUCUCCUCUCCUGCCUGAGCUCUGCCUUCCAAGGGGAUUUUGAGGUAUCACUGGACCCAGCGUCCAGGUGAUGUGACUCUUCAGCCAGGGUUCUAUUCAGAAGAAGGAUUGUGACAUGUCCCUGGGCCAGCAACCAGGUGCUGCCCACGGGAGGCAUUGUGACAUAGGUCUGGACCAAGCACCUGAACGAUGUGACACUCCUGACUGAGCCCUGCCACCCUAAGGGGAAAAUUUUACAUAUUGUUGACCUCAGGCACCAUGAUGAAGUGUCUCUCCUAUCUAAACUUUUUCCACAGUGGGUAUUGUUACAUAUUCCUGACCCAGCACCCCGGCGAUGUGAGUCUCUUAUCUUGUCACUGCUCACAGGUGUGUUUGCACUCAGUUCACUGGCACAGUAAUGACUCUCAUACCUGGACCUAGCCACUUAAAAACUGUUGACUCUUGUGCCUCUAAAUGGGAAAUCAGGUCAGAUCAUGCGUCCAUGUAAGAAUUAAAGUCUCAGAGCUGACUGCAACUGUCAUGCAAAUUAUAUAAAAACUUCCAGUGUUACAGAGAGUGUCAUAACAGGACCCAGCACACAGGUGUGAUUGUGACCCUCAUAUUUACACCCAGCUGACAAUAAGGAUUGUCACCUUUCCACAUGUUCACAGCCCACUUUUGACGCUCUGAAUCUCCAAACUGGAGACAGUCAAAACUUAGAAUUGUGAUUCUCAUAUGUGAAUACAGUCCACAUGUUGAAUGGUGGUCCUCAGACCAGGAUGAAGCACACCUGUUAGGCUGUGAUUUUUCUACCAAGACACACCGUGUAGGUUGACUGGGCUCUCAUAUACAAAUCAAGUCCACUGUUAAGACCGUGACGCAUGUAUUUGAGCUAAACUCACAGGAGAUGUUGACUUUCAUACCUGGAGCUGAGACGUGUGCUGGAUUGUGAAUCUCACUUUUGGAUUUUCCCAAAGGUUUGAUUGAGACACAUACCUUGCCUAACAUGUGAGUGAUUUCACUCUCAUGUGUGAGCCUAGCAUACGUGCAGACAGGAUUGCUACAUCUCCCUGGGCCAGUCAGUUAGGUGAUGUGACAUUUCUGAUAGGGUGAGGCCCUCCUCUGAGAAAGGAUUUUUAACACACUGCUGGACUCAGCACUUAGGUGAUGUGGCCCUUCUUCCUGGGUCCUGCCAAGAGUUCAAAUUGUAACACAUAUCUGGGCCCAAAACACAGGUAAGGCAAUGACUCUCAUACUUGGAACAAGACAAGAAGAGAGAUAUUUACUCUCGUAGCUCAGCCUAGAACAGCGGGUAAGUCCAGGGCCUUUUAUGUGUACAAAAUUUGGAGAAGAUCAUGACACUCACAGAUAUCACAUGAAAUGCUUGGGUUGUACAGGGAGUGUCAUAACAGAACCCAACACAGAGAUGAGAUUAUUACUCUCCUAUGCACACCCAGCUGACAGAAUUGUCACCUUCACACAUGGACACACCUCACUGAUGAGAUCUUGAAUCUCAUUUGUAGGCACAGUCUACAGUUGGAAUUUUGCUUAUUAUAUGUAGACUCAGCCACGAAUAAGAUGGAGACUUGUUUAUGAACCCAGCUUACAGGCAAGGUGAGGCUUUCAUACCUGGACCCAGCCAAUAGGAGAAAUAUUGACUCUUGUGCCUGGGCUUAAGGCAAUGGGUAAUAUCAUGCAAUUAUACCACCACAAAAUCCUCCCAGCGGAUUGCAACUCUCACAAAUAACCUAUUAACGUUUCUGCGGUGCAAAGAGUGUAAUAACAGGGCCCAGCACAAAGGUGAGAUUGUUAUGCUUGUAUGUACACUCAGCCAACCGUAAGGAUUGGUGCCCUUUUACAUAAACACCGUCCACUGCUGAGGUCCUGAAUUUCACAUCUGAAGGAAGUUGGAAUGGGGAAUUGUGACUCUCAUUUGUGGAUCUGGUCUGCAGGUAAGGAUGGUAGCUAUCAAACCCAGAUUUAGUACAAUUGUUGAGAAUAUGGCUGCCCUACUAGGACACUGUUCACAGGUGCAGUUGAGGCUCUUAUUUAUGGAUCUUGUACACCAUUACGAUUCUGUCUCAUGUACUUGGGUACAAAUCACAGAAGGUUGUGACUCUCAUACCUGAAGCCUGGAAGUGUGUGAGAUUAUGAAUCCCAUUCUUAGACCUUCCUGCAGGUGUAAUAGUGACAUAUACUUUCACUCAUUGAAAGUAUAUGAUUUUACCCUCUUGUGGAAGCCUAACCAACAAUUGGUAGUUGAGAUUCUGAAAUAUACCUGGGCCAAGCCCUUGGGUGAUGUGACUCUCCUGCCUGGGCUCUGCCCACAGGAGACAUUGUGACAUGUCUCUGGGCCCAUCACUGAAGUGAUGUGACUCUACUUUCCUGCCUAUGACCUGCCUCCAUUGGGGAUUUUGACAUAUCACUGACCCGCUAGUGUGUGAUAUGACCCUCCUCUAUUGACUACACCCUACUAACCAAAAACAAUUGUCACAUACAGUGGAACCCAUCAUCUAGGUAAUGCAACUCACUUAUGCUGCCUGUGCCCUCCCUACAUAUGGGACUGUGACAUACUAUAAGCCAAGCACCCAGGUGAUGUGACUCUCCUGCUUGUGCCCUCCUACACUGGGCAUUAUGACAUAUCACCGAGCCUAGCACCCAGGUGAUAUAACUCCUUUUUUUGGACCUGUCAACAGGCGGGAUUGGGAUAUAUCUCUGACCCAUCACGCAGGUGAUGUGACUGUCUUGCCUUCUGUUUACCCACAGGUAGGAUUGUGACCUCUGCCUAGGCCUAGCACAAGGCAUCAUGAUGUCUCUCAGAUAUGGAACUACCCAAUAGAAGAGAUUUUGGCUCUCAUAGAUAGAUUUAGGGAGAAGGGUAAGGUCCUGAGUCUCUUACUUGUAAAAAGUUACAGAAGAUUCUGACACACACACACACACACACACACGCACACACACACACCACACACACACACAAACACACACAUUAUGAAGUCUUUGAAUGGUACAGAGCUUUAUAAUACGAAGCAGAACACAGGUGAUAUUCUGACUCUCAUAAGCACACCCUGCUGAAAAUUAGAAUUGCCACCCUUAUACAUGGGCAGAGCACACUGGUGAGCUCCUGAAUCUCACAUGCAGAUGAAGUCCACAGUUGGAAUUGUGAUUGUUAUAUGCAAAUCUGGCCACAGGUGGGGUGGUGGCUCAUUUCUGGACCCAGCUUACAGGUCUAGUAAUGACUCUAAUAGCUGGACCUAGCCAAUAAAAUAGAAGUUUGCCUUAGUAACUAGGCUUAGGACAACAGGUAAUGUCCUGGGUUUCCUACUUGUACAAAAGUCACAGAGCCCUACAACACUUGAGCAUAUCAUACAAUGCCCUCAGGUAGUAAAGAGAGUUUUAUUUCACACAAAUGAAAUUAUGACUCUUAUCUGCACACUCAGCUAACAGUAAGGAUAAUCAUCCACCUACAUGGGAACAGCCCAUUGCUGAGUUUCUGAAUCUCACACCUGGAGCAAUUUAAAGUUAGAAAUGUGACCCUCAUACAUGGCUGCAGACCACAGGUAAGAUGCUGACUUUGGGUUCAAGAUUAAACACCUAGUGAGGCUGUGUCUCCUCUAUUAGAACACUGUUUUCAGAUGAGGUUUUAGCUCUCAUGCACAGAUACAGUCCGUUGUUGACUUUGUGACUCAUGUUCUUGGACAGAACUCACAAAAGGUGUUGACUUCCGCUGGUUUUGUCUAAACACGGGAUUAUGACCUAUGCCUAGGCCAAGCACAUAGAUGAUAUGACUCUCCUGCAUGGGCUGUGCUCUCAGAGGAGAUAUUGAAAUAUUUAUACGCCCAUCGUCUAGGUGAGGUGACUCUCCUUUCGGGACUGCACUCAGCCCCCAAGGGGCAUUGUGACAUAUAACUGGUUCCAUCACCUAGGUGAUGUGACUCUCCUCUCCUGCCUAGGCCAUACCCCCAUUUGGAAUUCUGACAUAUCCCUGGGCCCAUCACUUAGUUGCUAUGAAUCUCCUCUCUUGCCUUGGCCUGCUUACCUGGGGAAUUGUGAUGUAUUACUGGGCCCAGCACCAAGUAUGUUGUGUUCUUUUAUUUUUUUGCCUGGACUAUUACUACAGAAGGGAGUGUGACAAAUCAAUGAACAAGCACCCAGGUGAUGUGGCUCUCCUGUCUAAGCAAUGGCCAUAUUUGGAAUUAUGAAAUAUACCUGGGCCAUAUUUUCUAGGUGAUGUAACUCUUCUGCCUGAGCCCUUCCUCAAAGGGCAUUGUGAAAUAUCUCUGCACCCAUCACUUAGGGCAUAUGACUCUUCUCUUUUUUUCUUGGGCUCUGUCCACAGGUUAAUCUGUGACAUAUUGCUAUACCCAGCACGCAGGUAAUUUGAUCCUUUGUCCCUGGCUCUGACACAUCACUGACAUAUCAGUAGGCUCAGGAGUCAGGUGAUAUGACUUUGCUGCCAGGGAUCUCCUCUUAGAAUGGAUACUGACAUAUUUUUGGCUCAGCAUUCAGGUGAUGUGGCUUUUAUUACUGAUCCCUGUCAAGAGGUGAUAUUGUCACAUAUUCCUGGGUCCAGUUCAUAGGCAUAAUGAUAAUUAUCCUACAUGGACACAACCAAUAGAAGAGAUUUUUUACUCUUCUAGCUGGCUGACAGCAAUGUAUUGUGUCCUCAGUCUUCUGCUUUUGAAAAGAUCACAAAGUAUUACAAAGCUUAUGCAUAUUAUAUAAUGCCCUUUGAUGGUAAAGAGACUGUCAUUACAGGGCCCAGCACACAGCCAACAGUUAAAAGUUUUAAUCUCACACAUGGACAGAGCUCACUGUUAUAGGCCCUGAAUGUCACUCACAGACUAAGUCCACAGUUGAAAUUUUGGCUAUCACAUAUGGAUCUGGCCAUAGGGGAAACGGGUGACUCAUUGCUGGACCAAGCUCACAGGUGUGAUAAUGACUCUUAUAUCUAAACCAGUCAAUAGAAUAGAUGUUGAAUCUCAUCCUUAGGCUUGGAGCAACAGAUAAGAUCAUGAGUUUAUAUUGGCACAAAGGCUAUAGAGUGGAUUGCAAGUCUCAAACAUAUUAUAAAAAGCAGGAUAUGGUGCAAAGAACAAGGCCCAGUACAGUGUUGAGGGUUUGACUCUCAUUGCAUUCACUGACAACAGUAAAAAUGUUCACACUCCCACAUGGACACAGCCCACUGUUGAAGUUCUGAGUUUCACACCCAAAGGCAGUCCAAAGUUGGUAUAAUUACUCUUAUAUGUGGAUCCAGCCUUCAGGUGGUGAAUCUCUGAUCGAUAUUUAGCAAAUAUGUUAGGCUCUAACUCUCCUAAUGUGUGUUGUCUGAGCUUGAAGCUUUCAUGAAUGGAUUCAAUUUACUGUUGAAAUCAUGACUUUCAUACUUGGACCCAUGAGGUGUGUAAAAGUUUAUGAGGUACAUACUUUUAUGCCUAGACCCAGAACAUGUGCAGGAAUGUCAACUCCAUUCCUGGACCUUCCCACAGGUGUGAAUGUGACAUAUAAUUUUUCCCAGGCAGAACAUGACUGAUUUGAAUAUACUGCCUGAAUAAAGCCCACAGUUUGGAUUGUGACACAUACCUAAGCCAAUAACAUUGGUAAUGUGGCCCUCCUGCCUAGUCCCUUCUCACAGGUGUGACUGUGAGAUACCUCUGGUCUCAUUUCCAGGUGAUGUGAUUUUCCUCUCUUGCCUGGCACCCAUUCCCAAAGGGGAUUUUGAUAUAUUGAUGAGCCCAGCACUCAGGUGAUGUAAUCCUUCAGCCUAGAUUCUGCUCAUAGGGGACAUUGUGACGUAUCACUAGUCCCAGCACCAUAGUGAUGUGAAUAUCCUACAAGCACUCAACACACAGAGGGGAUGCUAAUACAUCCUUGGCUCAGUAUUCAGGUGAUGUAACUCUCCUGCCUGGUUCUGCCCAGAGGCAGGAUUGUUACAUAUACCUAGGUUCAGGUCACAGGAAUAAUGAUGACUAUCAUAUGAGUGCCCAGCUAAAAGAAGAGACUUGGACUCUCACAGCUAAAGUUAUUUAGGACAAUCAGUAAUGUUCUGAAUCUCCUCGUUGUAUAAAGGUUACAGGUGAUUAUGACCCACAUGAAGUUUGUAUAAAUUCUUUGGUCUUAUCAGAGUCCAUUACAGAGGCAUAAUUUUGCCUCUCAUAGGCACACUACCCAACAUUUGUGAUGAUUAUUCUCACACACGGACAAAGCCCACAGCUGAGGUUCUGAAUCUCACGUGUGCAAACAGUCCACAGUUAGAAUUGGGACUGUCAUCACAUCUGGCAACAGGUUGGAAGGUGACUCAUUUUUGGACCCAGCUAUUAACACUUCAGUGUCUCCCAUGCCUGGUUCCAGCUUAUAGAAGAGAUAUUGACUCUUGCAUCUAGGCUUCCAGCAACAGAUAAGAUGCUGGGCUUUCCACUUUUACAGAAACCUCAGAGAAUUACAACUCAUGCAUAUUGUAUAAUGCCCUAAGGUUGUACAGCAAGUGCUAAAACUGGGCGCAGCUCAGAAUCUCAAUUGUGACUCUUACAUGCACACACAGCCCACAGUUAGGAUUAAAUGUGAAGAGACUCCACUCAUGAGGUCCUGGAUCUCACUCACAGAAACAGUUCACGGGUAGAGUUGCGACUGUCAUAUCUGCAUCCGUACACAAAUGGGAUGGUGCCUCAUUUCAGGACCCAGCUUACAGGCACACUGAUGACUCUCAUACCUGUACCCAGCAAAUAGGACUGGUGUUGACUCUCAUGCCUGAACCUGGGGCAACAUGUAGGAUUAUCUGUUUAAAUCAUCAUGAAGUUCUCAGAGCAGGUUUUAUUGUCAUGUAGGCCAUGUGAAGCCCUUAAGUGGCCCUGAGUGUGUCUUAUAAAGACUCAAUGCGCAGGUGACAUUGUGACCCUUCUAUGCACGCAUAACAUACAGUGAGGAAUGUCAUCUCCUAUAUGGACGGAGCCAAUUGUUGAGAUUCUGAAUAUCACACCUAGACUAGCUGAAAGUUGACAUUGUGACUCUCAUACAUGAAUCCAGUUCACAAGGAGAAUGGUGACUUUUAUAUCAAAACUCAGCACACCAGUUAGGCAGCGACUUCCCUAAUUAGACAGUGUUUGCCAAUGAGGUUAGAGCGUUCAUGUAUGAAUUCCAUCUACCAUUGAGAUUGUGAUUUGUGUACUUUAACACAAUUCACAGAAGGUGUUGUCUUUUCCUAACUUGAGCUAGGAAAUAUGUGAGACUGUGAAUCUCAUUCCUGAAGGUGUGACUUUGACAUAUAAUAGUUUCUCAGCACCUGGUUGACUUUGCUCCCUUACAAGAGCCCCACCAACAGUUGGGAUUGUGACCUCUACCUGGCUUAAACACCUAGGUGAUGCUGCUGUCCUGCCUGGGUGGGGAUCGUAAUGUGCCUCUGAACCUGUCACCUCAUUGAUGAGACUCUACUUUCCUGCCUGUGCCAUGCCUCCAAUAACAGAAAUCUGGGCAUAUUACCCAGGUGGUAUGACUCUGCUCUUAUGACUGGUGCCUGUGAACAGCGGGAAAUGCAACAGAUUGCUGGGCCCAGCACCUAGAUGAUGUGACUCUUUUUUUUUUUUUUUUUUUUUGAGAAGGAGUCUUGCUCUGUCACCAGGCUGGAGUGCAGUGGCACAGUCUCGGCUCACUGAAACCUCUGCUUACCAGGUUCAAGUGAUCCUUUCACCUCAGCUUCCUGAGUAGCUGGGACUACAGGUGCGUGCCACCAUGCCCAGCUAAUUUUUGUAUCUUCGGUAGAGACUGGGUUUCACCAUAUUCACCAGGAUGGUCUCGAUCUCUUGACCUCGUGAUCCGUCCACCUCAGCCUCCCAAAGUGCCGGGAUUACAGGCGUGAGCCACCGUGCCCAGCUGAUGUGACUCUUUUGACUGAGUUUUGCCUACAGUGGGCAUUGUGACCUAUCACUGAGCCUAGCACAGGGGUGAUGUGACUUUCCUGUGUGAGUCCUGUUCACAGAGAGAUAUUGACAUUUCCGUGGCCCAGCAUUCAGGUGAUGUGACUUAUCUCUCUGAUUCUGCUCACAGGUGGGGUUGUGACCUAUACCUAGGCCCAGGCAGUAGUCAUAAUAAUGGCUUUGUUACAUGGACCCGGCCAAUAAAAGAAAUUUUGACUCUAACAGCUAGGCUUAGGGAAAUAAUUAAGGUCUUUGGCCUACUAAUCGUAAAAAUGUCACAGAAGAUUAUGAUACUCACAUGUAUUUUAUAAAGCCCUUGGGGUGUACAGAGAGUUACCUGACAGGGCCCAGGAAACAGUGAGCCUGUGUCUCUCAUAAAUUCAUUUAGCCAACAAUUAGGAUCGUCACCGUCAUACAUAAACAGAGUCCACUACUGAGAUUCUAAAUCUCACACAUGGAUACAGUUCAAAGUUGAAACUGUGAAUGUAAUAUGUGGAUCUGGCCACAGACUGGAUGAUGUUUAAACUUUCACUUGUCACUUU